CACAAUAACCUUGAAUUUGGGGGGUUUCAGGACUUCAUUUACAAACAGCCUCUCGCGGGUUUCAGUUUUAAAAUUGUUGCAUUUCAUGACAGAGAAUCAGGUUUUUUUGUUUAUGGGGUCCAUCCCCGCCCCUCUCAUCGGGCUGUCAGGUUAUCAUAACAUGCAUCUGUCCGUUCACAUCAUGAAGCACAACUUGUGGCUUCCCAGCGGUGAACUGGCUGCAGUCCAGCUGCUUCCCCUAUCGGCCACAAGCAAAAGAAGAGCCGGAGGAUGAUAUGGAUGAAGAGGCUCUAUCACUCUGUCAUGUCCCUGUUUCAUGCAUGACAAUAAUACAUCUGAAACUGGGUGAAGAAGUGUUUUGUGCUCAGAGGAGCUUGAUCCUGCAGCAGCAGUGGGUAAGUUGUAUGAGAGCCUGAGGAUGCAGUGAGCUGUGAAUCAGCUCCUCUCUACAUGUUUGUGUUGCUGCAGUCUGAACCCAAAAGGAAAGGAGCAUAUCUCUGACAUACUGCUGUAUGAAUAAUGCAGCUUCUCUGCACAACUGUUACUCUGACUGUGAGGAAGAUUUACAGCAGGUUUAAGAAGAGUUAGAGCCGAGAACGGUCAGGUAUCUGAGCUGCAGCUGUCACAGAAAAGCUUUGGUCUAUGUUAAUUAUGUGCAGGAAAACAUUUACUAUUAAAUGAAGUCAUUAUUUCUUUAUUUUUAUUAAUUUAAUAAUUAUUCCCUUUGACAGCAGGUCAAUACUUUAAUCAGUAAAAUGUCUGAGACUGAAUUCUUGGGCUCUCAUAUCCCAAGGUGAGUAUGUCACCUUGGGAUAUGAGAGCCCAGAGAUGAAUAAUGAAUCAUCACUGAAAGAAAGUUUUUCCCUACACAUACAAUCAUGAAGCCUCUCGAUUUAUACAGUUCAUGUUUUACUAUACUUUAUGCUAUAAAGUAAGUAUGACCCUUGGGUGUUAGGAAUAGCUGGAUGUAGUCACUGCAAUGCUACCUUUGGUUUGUGGGUACAUAGUUUCAACUCUUGAGCCAACAGUGAUCGCAUUUGGGAUAGUGAAAUCAUAAUGGACAGAAGACAGGAGCGGUCCUAAA